rnacentral:pre_miRNA from 1 species
GGAUCCCAAAUUUGAAAUAGAGUAGAUUAGGAGGAUCAACUGACCCUACUAAACUACACUACUUCGAGUUUGUGCCC